rnacentral:SRP_RNA from 1 species
GCCAGGCAUGGUGGCGCAUGCCUAUAAUCCCAGCUACUCAGGAGGCUGAGGCAGAAGAAUCGCUUGAACCCAGGAGGCAUAGGUUGCAGUGAGCUGAGAUUGCGCCACUGCACUCCAGCCUGGGUGACAAAGUGAGACUCCAUCUCAA